UACCAGCACCCCGAGUGGUCGGGACGAUUAUUGGGCCUAAAGCAUCCGUAGCCGGUCCUGCAAGUCUUCCGUUAAAUCCAGCUGCUCAACAGAUGGGCUGCGGGGGAUACUACAGGGCUAGGAGGCGGGAGAGGCAAGCGGUACUCAGUGGGUAGGGGUAAAAUCCUUUGAUCCAUUGAAGACCACCAGUGGCGAAGGCGGCUUGCCAGAACGCGCUCGACGGUGAGGGAUGAAAGCUGGGGGAGCAAACCGG
rnacentral:rRNA from 1 species